UGAUUACAGGCGUGAGCCACCGUGCCUGGCCACAAUGUGUUGUUUCAUUGCUACUGGGCUCUACUGAUGUUAAUAAUAAAUUGCUUCAGAGCUUUCCACGUUUUUGCUUGUAUCUUUGUUCUCGGUGUUUUAUCUCUACUCAGAGACCAGACCAUCCUUGUUACCCUUAGCUUGCUGUAUUUACCUGUUCUUUCUCCCCUAGUGGCAUUUUCCAGGCAUGUUGAAGUAGUGGGUGGUGAGUAAGGAACCAUUCGCAAUUGGGCCCAGAAGUCCAACAGGAGGAUGGUUUCUCUUGGGCUGCAGGUCGCUGUCCUAGGGCCACGAGCACAGGAGCCCUGAUGGCAUAUGGAAGAACCGAAUCAGCUCACAGAGGACCUGUUGACUCAGAAAAAUCACAUGCACAUCACAUACACUAUCACAAUGUCUUAACCCAGUGGCUCUCAACCCAGUGAGCAAUUUUACACCCCAG
rnacentral:lncRNA from 10 species